CAUCGUUAAAGGCAACCGACUGGCACGAAGUGGACGUCUCUUAUAAGGUGGAUGCGCACACUACAGGGAUGUUAGUGCGUUUACAUUAGCGAUUGAAGAGGCACUAACGUAGAGAAGAUCGGGGACGGAGGGGCGUGGAUAGCGGUGGCGGGGAGCGAUUUUAUUUUGGGUGUGCGGACUGCCGGCUGCUGCGUGCUGGGAGGAGGGAGCUCGUCGUCGUUGCCUCGCCGCGCAUCCCCGAGUUGGAUACAGCUGCCCGCCGCACCAGGGAGAGGAGGUAGCUCAUCGCCGUCGCCGUGCCCUGCGUCGCCCGAGCCGGAAGCAGCCACCGCCGUCCCAGGGAAAGGAGGGAGCUGGUAGCCGCCGCCGUGGCUUACGUUGUCCGCCGGUCCCUCUGCCGCGACGCACGUUCCGCGCCGUUGCUUCGACUCCCUCGGCCGGGAACACCGUGCCCCCGCGCUGCCAAGGUACCGCCGACACCCCACCUCCCGCGCACGCACUUCCGCCGCGUAAGGAAACCGAAAGCCGUACGGCGCCGUAACUGAAGGGACGACAGCAGCACGAGGGACUACGGUCGAGGAGGAAGGAGGGCGGCGACCUGUACGUGUUGUGGUAGGGUACGGGAGACAGGCGACCGGUCUCUUUCCGUAGUCACUCUUUAUACCUACUACGUGCGCUUGCCUAACCGUGAGGGUAGAGGUGACGUGACUUCCUCUAGUUCGGGUAAAGGUAGUCGUAGUUGAUCUUGGAGGGGAGCUGGACGUAGGAACGGAAAGAAAACAUAGAGGGGUUCCAUUUAACACGUUGGAUAACGGCGAGACGGUACCCAGUGUACCAGCAGGAAGUAUGUGGCGAAAUGAUCCUGAUUGCGACUUCAUGUCUACUACCACAUACAUUCAAAAGUGAUAAAGGAGUCAAAAACAAAAAGGUGUCAAAAGAUUGACCCCAGGAGUGUGUAAAAAACACACACAUGUAAUGCCCGGUGGAUCUUUUAAGGUUUUCUUCAACGGAGAACAAACCUGUGGGGUUUCGUGCCCGACCGUUCUGAUUCUAACCCGUUUCUCUCGAAGUCCUCCUGGCAAAUACUGUGGAGUGAGCUGCCAAAUAAGAAGUUCGUUCCUACCUUCUUCAAGGAGUGCUCUGUACUGUACUCUAAUCGUGACGAUAUGAUUAAUGUAAAUUCUGACAACGGUUGUUACUCAACCUCUAAUAUCAGUAGGAAAAUACAGGAAACUCUUCUAGUACAACCUGUUCAAGGUCCGAAAGUACUCAAUAAAUCAGUAAAGAGUCGCAAAAAAUUUGGUACCUCCUCUUGACGUACACUUGAAGUAUCUAUGCUCUUCUUUUCUUAUUUCCGUACAUUUUUCAAGUUAAGUAAAAGACAAAUAAAACAAAGGAGAAAGAGAUGCAUGACCAAAAACUUGACACCAAACACUUAGCC
rnacentral:rRNA from 1 species